GACGAACGCUGGCGGCGUGCCUAAUACAUGCAAGUCGAACGCAGUGGGGACGGGUGAGUAACACGUGGGUAACCUCCCAUCAGAGGGGAUAACACUUGGAAACAGGUGCUAAACCGAUACUGAUGGAUGGACCCGCGGUGCAUUAGCUAGUUGGUGAGGUAACGGCUCACCAAGGCCACGAUGCAUAGCCGACCUAGAGGGGGGAUCGGCCUCGCUGGGGCUGGAACACAGCCCGUACUCCUACGGGAGGCAGCGGUAGGGAAUCUUCGGCAAUGGACGAAAAGCUAACCGAGGAACACCGCGUGAGUGAAGAAGGUUUUCGGAUCGUAAAACUCUGUUGUUAGAGAAGCGGUAUCUAACCAGAAAGCCACGGCUAACUACGUUCAAGCAGCCGCGGUAAUAC
rnacentral:rRNA from 1 species